GACGAACGCUGGCGGCGUGCUUAACACAUGCAAGUCGAACGGAAAGGCCCCUUCGGGGGUACUCGAGUGGCGAACGGGUGAGUAACACGUGAGUAACCUGCCCUUGACUUCGGGAUAACUUCAGGAAACUGGGGCUAAUACCGGAUAGGAAUCCUUGCUGCAUGGUGGGGGUUGGAAAGCUUCGGCGGUUUUGGAUGGACUCGCGGCUUAUCAGCUUGUUGGUGGGGUAGUGGCUUACCAAGGCUUUGACGGGUAGCCGGCCUGAGAGGGCGACCGGCCACAUUGGGACUGAGAUACGGCCCAGACUCCUACGGGUGGCAGCAGUGGGGAAUAUUGCACAAUGGGCGGAAGCCUGAUGCAGCAACGCCGCGUGCGGGAUGACGGCCUUCGGGUUGUAAACCGCUUUCAGCAGGGGCGAAGCUUGUGGUGACGGUACCUGCAGAAGAAGCACCGGCUAACUACGUG
rnacentral:rRNA from 1 species